rfam:Candidatus Staskawiczbacteria bacterium RIFCSPHIGHO2_01_FTLL_41_41 rifcsphigho2_01_scaffold_47511, whole genome shotgun sequence.
AAAAAAUAGGUUAUAAGCGAAUGGCGGAUGCCUUGGGAUAUUACAGUGAUGAAGGACGUGGCGUGCCUGCGAUAAGCUUCGGGGAGGUGGCUAGCAACCUUUGAUCCGGAGAUGUCCGAAUGGGGAAACCCUAUUUCGGUAAUACGAGAUAAUUUUUGCAGCAAUGCAAAAAAGCUAACGUGCUGAAGUGAAACAUCUCAGUAAGCACAGGAACAUAAAACAACGCGCGCAAGCGCAACAUUCCCUUAGUAGUGGCGAGCGAAGAGGGAGGAGUCUAAACCAAUAUUUAUAUUGGGGUUGCAAGGUUAUAGCGUCGGGAGCAUUAUUUAGGCUUGGAAUAGUCCAGGCUUGGAUAAUACUUGCCGAGGGAGAACAGUAAGUUGUUAAAAGAAGCACCCUGGAAAGGGGCACCAUAGAGGGUAAUAGUCCCGUACUCUAAAAUAAUUUUACGCUCCUUGCUAUUUUUCUUAAGUACUGUCGGGCAUGAUAACCUGGCAGGAAGCGGGCCGAACUAUCGGCCAAGACUAAAUAUGUAAUAUCACCAAUAGUGAACAAGUACCGUGAGGGAAAGGUGAAAAGUAGGGGGUUGACCCCGGUGAAAUAGAACCUGAAA